ACAGAACAGAACUUUCCACAGUAUCCUGAUGUCAAUGCGAGUGUGUUCCCUGCAUUUUCAUUCUGGAAAACCAGCAAAUGAAAUGUACACCUCGCAUCCGGAUUGGGCACCAUCACUACACUUGGGCCACACUGAGAUAAAGGCCACACAGACUGCACGCUAUGAGAGACAGGAAAAGAGAAAACGGCAAAGGACUGACAGUACACCUGCGAGGAUGAGACAGCUAUUGAUGACCUUGUUCCACCCGUGGAGACACCAGCACCAGCUGAGGAUGGAGCUGAGCAGACACCGCUGACAGAAUGUGACUUCUGUCAGCGCCGGCGUGCUGAAAUCAACCGGCUGCUGGAGGAGAACAGGACCCUGAAACGUCUUGCACUCUCAGCGCAUUAAUGAGACUCCCCUGAAGCCAUGGGUCAUCAUUGCUGACGAUGGGCAGGUUUGCUGUGCACACUGUACAUGCAUGGCUGGAAUUGCAGAGGCAUGUACACAUGUUGGGGCUCUGCUGUUUAAGAUUGAGGCAGCAGUCCGCAUCCGUGGGAAAAAGACUGUGACAGAUGUGCCAGCUUAUUGGAAAAUACCAGCAGGUAUCAACAAAGUCAGCGGUGAAGUCGCCCACAAGAUGGACUUCACUUCAUCCAAAGUGCAGAGGAUUGCUCUGGACAGAGUCAUCGAUGACAACAUUCCCAUGCCUGGCCUACGGACACGGGCCAGCAGACGCACUGCCCAAGCCACAUUGGACGACUUAUCGUCAAUGUUCCCUGUUCUUCAGAACCAUAGGUCAGUUUGUAUGUCCACAGUGAAGCCCUACUUUCACAACUAUGCUGCUCCUGUCCAGCCAGCUGUGAUCCCAAAACCCCUGCAAGACCGUCUGCGCGACCCAAAGUUGGAAAAUGCUCCACCAGCUGUCCUU